CAAAGGUUUGGUCCUGGCCUUGCUAACAAUUUUAACUAAACUUACACAUGCAAGUAUCCGCACCCCUGUGAGAAUGCCCCAAUAGUCCCCUCAUUGGGAACAAGGAGCUGGUAUCAGGCACAUCCUAUUAGCCCAAGACACCUUGCAUAGCCACACCCCCAAGGGAACUUCAGCAGUGAUAGACAUUAAGCCAUGAGUGAAAACUUGACUUAGUUAAAGAUAAGAGGGUUGGUAAAACUCGUGCCAGCCACCGCGGUUAUACGAGAAGCCCAAGUUGUUAGAUACCGGCGUAAAGUGUGGUUAAGACUUAAACCCUAAGACUAAAGCUGAAUGCCUUCUAGGCCGUUAUACGUACCUGAAAGUAAGAAAACCAAUUACGAAAGUAGCUUUACUACUUCUGACUCCACGAAAGCCAGGAAACAAACUGGGAUUAGAUACCCCACUAUGCCUGGCCCUAAACAUUGAUGCGCAACUUACAAGCCAUCCGCCCGGGAACUACGAGCACCAGCUUGAAACCCAAAGGACUUGGCGGUGCUUUAGAUCCACCUAGAGGAGCCUGUUCUAGAACCGAUGAUCCCCGUUCAACCUCACCCUCCCUUGCUCCGUCCAGCCUAUAUACCGCCGUCGUCAGCUUACCCUAUGAAGGCCCCACAGUAAGCACAAUUGGCACAGCCCAAAACGUCAGGUCGAGGUGUAGCGUAUGAGAGGGGAAGAAAUGGGCUACAUUCACUAUUAUAGUGCACACGGAUGUCAUAAUGAAAUUUAUGACUGAAGGCGGAUUUAGUAGUAAGCAGAAAAUAGAGCGUUCCGCUGAACUUGGCCCUGAAGCGCGUACACACCGCCCGUCACUCUCCCCGAGCUACCAUCAAUAACCAAAUACUUAAACAACCAAAAUUGCAAAGGGGAGACAAGUCGUAACAUGGUAAGUGUACCGGAAGGUGUACUUGGAAAAU
rnacentral:ncRNA from 1 species